UGCCAGCCGCCGCGGUAAUACGAAGGGGGCUAGCGUUGUUCGGAAUUACUGGGCGUAAAGCGCACGUAGGCGGACUUUUAAGUCAGAUGUGAAAUCCCAAGGCUCAACCUUGGAACUGCAUUUGAAACUGGGAGUCUAGAGAUCAGGAGAGGUUAGUGUAAUACCGAGUGUAGAGGUGAAAUUCGUAGAUAUUCGGUGGAACACCAGUGGCGAAGGCGACGAACUGGACUGAUACUAACGCUGAGAUGCGAUAGCCUGGGGAGCAAACAGGAUUAGAUC
rnacentral:rRNA from 1 species